rnacentral:lncRNA from 1 species
GUGACGCGCACAGCUGCUCCCAGAAGCUUGCUUUUACCCCUCUUUGUAAUCGUGCCUCCUCUCCUCCCUAACACCCCUUCCCAGGCACCGGAUCUGCCUCCUGUCACACCAGUGCCUUUCAGCUUUCUAGCAUUUUAUGUAAAUGAAAACAUGCAGUAUAAAUAAGUGUCUCUAUGGAUGCAGACUUUUCCUUCCUCAGGAAAAGCUCCAUGGAUCCACGUCCUCCAUCACAUCUUAUUUCUGGGCUCUUUGUGGUGCAGUUUCCUCCUUCUUCUCAUCAGCCAUGGGCCACUCAAGCCCCAGGGCGCCGUGGAAGCCCCUAGAGGAACAAACCCAGCACCUGCACCGCAAUCGGCCCCCUCCACCCGCAGCCGCCACAAUUCUAAUGCAAAGGCCCAGGCGUGCACACAGACUCACCCCACUCUUCCCGCACUCUGGGCCUGCCCCCACCUCCACCGGGGACUCCCUCAUUUCCUCCCCUGUGGCUUGCUCUCAGGAUCCCUGUCACCUCGCCUGUGAAGUGGAAGGACAUGGAUCCCCCAAAUCGCUGUGACCAUCCACUGGGAGAGGGCAGGCAUGCAUGCACAUAGCGCCAGGCAUAGAGUGAGCAGGGAAGGGCAGCCUCUGCCUUCCGGUCACUGCAGUGGUGCUGGGUAAACUCGGCGGGCUCCCAGAUGGUCUCCGGGAGUCUCAGCUAUUAGACAGCACAGCUGACUAAUACAUAACACGUAUAUACAUACACAUACGUGCACAUACAUCAUAUAUAUACGUCAUAUAUUAUACAUGAUAGGUAAAAUGUGCCUAUAACUAUAAUAACACUAAAUAUGUAUUAAUAUAUUAAUAUAUUACCAUGCAUUGGCAG